UACGUAGGGGGCAAGCGUUGUCCGGAAUUAUUGGGCGUAAAGAGCGUGUAGGCGGCCUUACAGGUCAGCUGUGAAAACUCGAGGCUCAACCUCGAAACGUCGGUUGAAACCGUAUGGCUAGAGUCCGGAAGAGGAGAGUGGAAUUCCCGGUGUAGCGGUGAAAUGCGCAGAUAUCGGGAAGAACACCCGUGGCGAAGGCGGCUCUCUGGGACGGUACUGACGCUGAGGCGCGAAAGCGUGGGGAGCAAACA
rnacentral:rRNA from 1 species